GAUGAACGCUGGCGGCGUGCCUAAUACAUGCAAGUCGAGCGAACAGACGAGGAGCUUGCUCCUCUGACGUUAGCGGCGGACGGGUGAGUAACACGUGGAUAACCUACCUAUAAGACUGGGAUAACUUCGGGAAACCGGAGCUAAUACCGGAUAAUAUAUUGAACCGCAUGGUUCAAUAGUGAAAGACGGUUUUGCUGUCACUUAUAGAUGGAUCCGCGCCGCAUUAGCUAGUUGGUAAGGUAACGGCUUACCAAGGCAACGAUGCGUAGCCGACCUGAGAGGGUGAUCGGCCACACUGGAACUGAGACACGGUCCAGACUCCUACGGGAGGCAGCAGUAGGGAAUCUUCCGCAAUGGGCGAAAGCGUGACGGAGCAACGCCGCGUGAGUGAUGAAGGUCUUCGGAUCGUAAAACUCUGUUAUUAGGGAAGAACAAAUGUGUAAGUAACUAUGCACGUAUUGACGGUACCUAAUCAGAAAGCCACGGCUAACUACGUG
rnacentral:rRNA from 1 species